rnacentral:rRNA from 1 species
UACGGAGGGGGCUAGCGUUGUUCGGAAUACUGGGCGUAAAGCGUGCGCAGGCGGCUUCUCAAGUCAGGGGUGAAAGCCCAGAGCUCAACUCUGGAAUUGCCUUUGAGACUGAGUGGCUUGAGUACGAGAGAGGUGAGUGGAAUUCCCAGUGUAGAGGUGAAAUUCGUAGAUAUUGGGAAGAACACCGGUGGCGAAGGCGGCUCACUGGCUCGUUACUGACGCUCA